GUAUUUGACAUCAUGAAUAGCAAUCUCUAUACACAUUUUUUUAUAAGUGACAAAGGGACAAAACAAAACUGACCAAAACUUGUACACUAUCUAUAUAUCACCAUUUGAGAGGUGGUGUGUGGCCUUAUGACUAAACUAUAUAACAAGAAAAUUAUGUACAUUGAGAAUUCUAUGCUUUGUGAAACCAAAAAAGUUAAACUUGAUACAUCAUACCAACUUCUAGUGAUGAUGCAUGAGGUACACCAAGUACAAAGGAUGGUGCCCUACUAUUCCUUCUUAGAAAUUCAUACACAAAAUUAAUAGCUAUUUUCUUUAUAGUACUAGACCCUGGUUUAGCCUUCAUGUAAGAAUGUCCUAUAAUAUAAGCUAUUCCAGCUUCUCUUGCUUCCAUCACUUCUUCUAACUCUUCCUUUGCUUCUGUAUCAAUCUUAGGGCUCUCAGGUACCAAAAACCUCACCUUUUUCUUCUGUUGAUUCACCUGUGGCGAUUUUAUCUCCUUAAGUUCUGAUGACGUCUCUUCCGAGUCGACAUUAUCAACAUUAUUAUCCGAAUUAUUAUCGCUGCACCUCAAAAUGGUUUGUGAAGAAUAUGUCCCAACAACUGUCAUUUUGUCAUGUUUUUCGACCUCGUCAUUUGAAGAUAUUCCGAUGCUCCCUGUGCGUAUGAAUUCAGCUAUGCUGCAUAAGAGAUCGUUCUCAAACUCAACAUCAUCUUUGUGGAUAUCGCGGUAUCCAUACCGCACUAUGCAACGAUAGAUUCUGAAAUUCCGCGGACCAACACGGCCGACUAGAAAUCUUUCCUCGGGUCUAACGUGCGGAACGGGCACAUGUUUGAUGCAGAGAAAGACUAGGAUCUGAUGGAAAGCUGGAAGGUUGGUCACAAAGUGGGAAAAGAUGACAGGAAUUCCGGAUACUAGGUCUGUAUGUAUAAGGCCAACACCACGCACUCGUACGAUGCCUAUGCUUGGACCUAUGCCAAGCAGCCAGUUGAUGGAAACCUUGUUUUGAACAUCAAAUUCGUACUUUUUGUGCGUGCCGUAGUGCCAGACAUACAUGACAGUUAUAAAAACAAAUGCCAAUGCAAUCGGCACCCAUGCUCCUUGUAGAAACUUGGUAAGAGAAGCUGAAAAGAAGACAGACUCAAUGGUGCCAAAAAAGAGAACAAACGCGAGUGCAAAGAAAACAUUCUGGUGCCAGCAUAGUACAAUAACCAGUGACAUCAAACAGGUGGUUACCAGCAUCACUGUGAUAACUGCCAAACCUGUUAGGCAAAGAGCAUUAUGUCAGAUAUGAUCGCAACUAACGAAAUAACCAAUUACAAGCACAAGUCAAAUAAGCAAUUACAAGCAUUAACGAUAUAACCAAUUUCGCACUGAUAAGACACAACAUUGACACACCAACACCAUUAAUAAUUUAAGAAAAUAGUACAAUUGAAUGUAGCUACAUUUGUUGGUGCCACUUGGUGUCAGACACCGACAUGGCUGAAGUGUCAGUGCUGCAUAGCUUAUGAUUAUGAUGGCAAUGUUACUUUGUGUUGCAUACAAAAUUCCACUGCAACUUAUAUAAAAUGCAUCCUCUUGCUGAAAAUUAAUGUAUGUGUAAUCUGCGAUUGUUGUCAUACCUGAGGCAUGGCCGAGAUGCUGUGUGUUUCUGAAACCAAUUGUAACAGCCAAGCACAAGAUCAUCAAUAGCCAAUUGAUCUCAGGGAUAUAUAUCUGCCCGUGAAUUUUGGAUGAUGUGUGAACCACUUUAACUCUUGGGAAGCAAUUUAAUGCAGAACAUUGCUUGAUAAUUGAGAAUGUUCCAGUUAUGAUGGCUUGGCUUCCAACAACAGCAGCAAAUACAGCAAGCACCAGAACAGGCCAUCUCAAUUUCUCUGGAAAGCAAAAGAGCGAACAAAUGUCAAUUAUCCGAGAACUCCUUCACAAUCUACAUCCUACCUACAAAACUAAAAUGAGUUAAGCAGCAGCUACCUGGAACAGAUACAUAAAACCCAAAGUGAUAAGCAUGCUCAGUAUCAUGAUGCCUUGAUAGAUAUGCAGCUUGUCCCAUAUAUGCAAGAAUUAAAGAUGGAUAAACCACAGAAGUGAAAGCAAUCUGCAAAAAGAGAUCUUAAUCAAAUAAGCAUUUCCAAAAGCUAUUUGACUAUAACAAUGAGUUUAUUUGGAAUGACUUAUUUGAGCUUAUCUACUGGCAUAAGCACUAUAGAGACUGUUUGAGAGAGCUUAUAAAAAUGACUUAUGACAUGUACAUAAGUUGUUUCGUCUUAUUUCCAUAAGCUCUCCAUGACAACUUAUUAAAAGUUAAAACAGGUUAUAGUUUAGAUGAAAACAGUUUGACUUUAUUUUAUAUAUUUGCUGUAGAAAUAGUUUUGUACAUAAGUGCUUAUUCUAUGAGCACUUUAUUAAGCUAUUUCUCCAAACAGGACCUAAAACCAAUAUGAGAAGCGAUGUUAACACUUAUCAGUUAUCAUAUCAAGGGGGAUAAGUUAAAACUUUUGGAGUGAACCAGAUGAAAUAAGCUAUCCAAACAGAGCAAGUGAAAUUGUGAGAAAUGCUAAUGUAUUGUGUUCGCUAAAUCUAAUACUCCCUCCGUUUCAAAAUGAGAGUCACUUUAGCUAAAAAAAUUUGUUUCAAAAUGAAUGUCACUUUACAUUUCCAAUACAACUUUAAUUUUUUCCUUCCAACUUUACCCUCUCCAACUUUUUCUCACAAUUUUCAAUGCAACUUUAAUUUUGUCUUUUUCUUAUAAAGUAAGGGCAGUUUGGUAAAAGUGUUAUAUCCAAUGAUUAUUUCAUUCCAUUUCUUAAUCUGUGUGCCAAAGCCUAAAGCGACACUCAUUUUGAAACGGAGGGAGUAUUAGUUAUAUUUGAUUGUCCUCUACACGAAACCAAAUUUAAAAAUAACAUACCUGGAUUGAUAAUUGUGAGAAGUGUCCAAGAUCAGCAAACAUGGCUUCUGACCCUGUAUAAGUGCAAAAGAAAUGGUGAGGAUAACGGCAUAAAAUAUAAGUUAACCAUCAACUAAAACAUACAGACCUGUUAUGGACAGCAAAACUCCACCAAGAGCCAUCCAACCUCCAGUUUGAUUUUGCCUCAUAAAUCGAAACGCAUAAAUUGGACAGAGUGCGCGGUAUAUCUGAGAGUUCCAGUGGAAUAUAUUAUAUAUUCCAAUGGCACUGAUGCAAAAUAGCCAUGCCAUAACUAUUGGAGCAAACAUGAAGCCGACUCGAUGAGUGCCAAAAUGUUGAAGCGCAAACAAGCCUACCAAUAUGAUGCAUGCAACUGGAACUUCUACAUCUGUCAAGCAACAAAUUUCAAAAGCGAUAUCAGCGAGGAAAGUGCCACAUCUCUCACAUAAAAAAGAGUGGUAUCAAAAUUCCACGUGCAGAUAUAAGCAAAAAGGUAUAUAACGGAAGAACAAAAUUAAAGCAUAACGAGACAAACAAUUUUUUCGUCUUCUUUAAUCCUUUCUGAUAAGUUAGCUAUCAAAAAAAAAAAAAAAAAAGAAAAUAUAAAUUUCUGAUAGGUGCGCAAGUCCAAAAAAGUCUUAUUACUGUUAAUUAUUAUAUUACAGGUGACCUACAUAUCUGUUACACCAUCCAUAGCAAGUUAGUAACAGUAUAGGACGUUAUUGCAGCAGAAUAGAUCUUAGGAUCCUUAAAAACCUCUAUUGAAAUGAGCAUAUAGCUCUUGCUUCAAUUAAAUAAUGACAGAUUUUGGCAUUUGGAAAGACCGACCAGUAUGGAAACUCCAAGAAUUCAAGUUCCAACUGAUCAUGUCACAGCUCAAUCAAACACAUCACACUUGUUAUUUAAGUUAUAUGCCUAAAGCAUACAGUACAAGCAUGCAGCUCAGAGUGUUGGAGCCCAUCACAUGUGAUCAUGUGGAUUUAGACUUUUUCAAGGACGGAUAUAAGUCACACCCUAAACGUGCAGAAACAAAUGCAACAUAAUUGUCUGUCCUUAAUACAAUUUUCUCACAAACAUUCCAACAAAAGUAUAAAGAAACACUGCCAAACUGAGAAAAAGGAGCAUCUAGACACUGAGAGAUAAACUACUAGUGGCAUAAUGAGAGAAAAAAAAGGCGUUUUUUCCUAAACAAAACAUAAAUCAGAAUUGAGAUAAAACUUACAUGCGUGAUGUUCCUUGGACAUUGAAAGCUCAAAUCCUGAUAUGGCUGAGAAAACUGCACUCAUUCAAAAUAACUUACUCAGUGACUUAAAGGGACUAAAGCAAAUAAAUUCCUAUACAAAUCUUAGAAACAGGAAAGAAAUUGAAAACAAGUUUCAAUUUUUUAAUUAAAAGUAAAAACAUGAAAUGGAUACAAGAGCAGUAAACAAUCAUUUUAGUCCCUAAAUAUAUUUAUUAGGUGUUGUUACUAUAGUCUUUGAAUGUAUCGAAAUUACAAAUAACAAGAGACAAACCCCCAGGGGUCGGCCUAGUGGUGUAGGCUUAGGACCCAGGAGUGUGCUCAUCACCAGGUCUUCGGUUCUAAUCCUCUAGAUGUUCAGAAUUCCUAUGUAGGGCCAGUCCAUACAGGACUUUUCCCAGGCAUCAAUUGGGCCUGCUAGUGGAUGGUGGGAUUGGUUCACGGAUUAAUCGGUCCUUGGACCAGAUACCGAGUUUCCGAAAAGAAAAAAAAAACAAAUAACAACAAAAAGACAGAUUUAGGCAUGCUUGUGGUAAUUUCAAUACAUCCAAAGACUGUCGCACUAUUGCGACAGUGUCUCACAAAUUUAAAGACCAAGAUGACUGUUUAGUUUACCCUAAAAACAGAAACAUUUUCUAAAGAAAUAAACAUAACAAAAUCAUCAUCAACAUAAUCAUCACCUGAAAGAGCAGGUGUAAGGACACCAUCACCAAUAACCAUACAAGUUCCAAUCAAAGCAAGAACAAGCAAAAACUUCUGCAAAACCUUCCUUUUCUCAAGUGUAGACUUAAGCCUAAAGGCAAAUCCUUUACCAUUUGAAACACCACCACCACAACCAUCUUUCUUAUACUCAGACAAUUCUUCAUCAGCCAAUUGACAAUUAGGAAGAGAAUUAACUUUAGCAUAUCUACACAACAAAGAGUAAAGUGCAAAAGUGCCUCCUUCACCAUUAUCAUCAGCUCUUAACACUAUGAACACAUAUUUAACCAAAGGAACUAAUGUAACAGACCAAAACACCAGAGACAAAACACCAUAAAUCUCUUCAUUUGUAUUUGAGUGUCCAAUUCCUUCACCAAAAGUACUUCUAAACACAUAUAAAGGUGAAAUGCUUAAAUCUCCAUAAACUACUCCAAGACUUUGAUAUGCUAGUGUUAGAACUGUUCUCCAUGAAUCUUUCUGCAAAAAUUUUAAAAAAAAACCAAAAAAAAAAAACAUCAGUGUAACAUUACAAACAUGUUCAAACGUUGUUAGAAUCGAAAAUAGAAUCUACCAAAGAAGUAAAAAUUGAAACUUUUAAGGUUUUGAAGCAUGCCCAUUCUGUUACCUUUGAAGAAUUUCGACGAGUUCCACCUUCUAGAUCCAUAACAUGCGAGGUUUUUGAAGUUUCAAAGAACCAUGUUUUUUUUUGUUUUCUGGAACCAAGAAUUUAAGGUUUUUGUUUUGAUG
rnacentral:lncRNA from 1 species